UACGAAGGGGGCUAGCGUUGCUCGGAAUCACUGGGCGUAAAGCGCACGUAGGCGGCUUCUUAAGUCAGGGGUGAAAUCCUGGAGCUCAACUCCAGAACUGCCUUUGAUACUGAGAAGCUUGAGUCCGGGAGAGGUGAGUGGAACUGCGAGUGUAGAGGUGAAAUUCGUAGAUAUUCGCAAGAACACCAACAGCGAAGGCAGCUCGCUGGGACGGUACUGACGCUAAGGCGCGAAAGCGUGGGGAGCAAACAGG
rnacentral:rRNA from 1 species